rnacentral:rRNA from 1 species
UACAGAGGGUGCAAGCGUUAUCCGGAAUUAUUGGGCGUAAAGCGUCUGUAGGUGGCUUUUUAAGUCCGCCGUCAAAUCCCAGGGCUCAACUCUGGACAGGCGGUGGAAACUGCCAAGCUGGAGUACGGUAGGGGCAGAGGGAAUUUCCGGUGGAGAGGUGAAAUGCGUAGAGAUCGGCAAGAACACCAACGGCGAAAGCAGUCUGCUGGGCCGGUACUGACGCUGAGAGACGAAAGCUAGGGGAGCGAAUGGG